rnacentral:rRNA from 1 species
UACGGGAGGCAGCAGUGGGGAAUAUUGCACAAUGGGCGCAAGCCUGAUGCAGCCAUGCCGCGUGUAUGAAGAAGGCCUUCGGGUUGUAAAGUACUUUCAGUCGUGAGGAAGGUGUUAAGGUUAAUAACCUUAGCAAUUGACGUUAGCGACAGAAGAAGCACCGGCUAACUCCGUGCCAGCAGCCGCGGUAAUACGGAGGGUGCGAGCGUUAAUCGGAAUUACUGGGCGUAAAGGGCACGCAGGCGGUUAAUUAAGUUGGAUGUGAAAUCCCCGGGCUUAACCUGGGAAUGGCAUUCAAGACUGGUUAGCUAGAGUCUUGUAGGAGGGGGUAGAAUUCCAUGUGUAGCGGUGAAAUGCGUAGAGAUGUGGAGGAAUACCGGUGGGCGAAGGCGGCCCCUGGGACAAAGACUGACGCUCAUGUGCGAAAGCGUGGGGAGCAAACG